CCUACGGGUGGCUGCAGUGGGGAAUAUUGGACAAUGGGCGAAAGCCUGAUCCAGCCAUGCCGCGUGUGUGAAGAAGGCCUUCGGGUUGUAAAGCACUUUCAGUGGGGAAGAAAGCCUUGGGGCUAAUACCCUCGAGGAAGGACAUCACCCACAGAAGAAGCACCGGCUAACUCCGUGCCAGCAGCCGCGGUAAUACGGAGGGUGCGAGCGUUAAUCGGAAUUACUGGGCGUAAAGCGCGCGUAGGCGGUCUGAUAAGCCGGUUGUGAAAGCCCCGGGCUCAACCUGGGAACGGCAUCCGGAACUGUCAGGCUAGAGAGCAGGAGAGGAAGGUAGAAUUCCCGGUGUAGCGGUGAAAUGCGUAGAGAUCGGGAGGAAUACCAGUGGCGAAGGCGGCCUUCUGGACUGACACUGACGCUGAGGUGCGAAAGCGUGGGUAGCAAACAGGAUUAGAUACCCCGGUAGUC
rnacentral:rRNA from 1 species